CUUCCCAUUGGCAAGAACUUAGUUUUGUAGCUACAAAGGAUGCUGUGAAAUAUUGUCUCUGGCUGAGUAGCUGUGUGCUUUGCUCAUACUCAGGAAUCCUGUUACCAGAAGCAGCAGAGGAAAAGGGACCCUAGGAGAUCAUCAGCUGGAGGACUGCAGGAUUACAGCUGCCUCAGUCCGGAUCCCAACGGCACAACUACUUCCAAAACUGUCUCCCGGUGAGGCAGCUAAGAUGCGGAGAGAAGAAAUGGGGAGUCAGGAGCUCCAGCACUGUGUGUCCAGGGUACGUAUGUAAAAAGGCAACCUAAAUUCAGAUUUAAAGCUUCUUGUUGCCCAGGAUGUGCUGGACGCAGACAUCAAGCAUGGGAGGUAGAUAUCCUCCCUGCUUUUCAGAUGAGGAAACUGCCCAUCAGAAAGUCAAGCGGCGCCCCGUGCACGCCUGGUUGGUGCCGGAGGCAGGAUGGAAAGCCUGGUCCUGCUGACUCCAGGACUUUCCUCUCCCCACAGGGGCUUGUAACAUGCCCCAAAAUCAACAAAUAAGCCAAAAAUAAAUCCAAUCUCAAAGCAAAAAUAGUCCUUCUUUUUCUAGUUUCCUCCAGUUGUGAAAGAAAAACAAGACUUGGGAGUUCCAUUUAUAAGGAUAAAAUUUCCUGUGAUUUGUGAAAAUGGUAAAAGUAUAUACAGCUGUAUAAGGUCUCACUGUGGCACCUGAGUCCGGCAUGUUUCCUUACUUGAUAUACACGUCUUCCUUUGUCCUGCACUUCACAUUUGAUCUACAAGACGUAAAUUCUUCGAGGGAUAAAAGACUUGGUGAGCACAGAAUCAAAGACCAAUAAAGGGAUUUUUUUGUUUUUUUUUAAAAUGUUCUUGCUAACAUAGAAAGGCUUACAGGUAGACCACUCAACCUGACAUGAUGCCCUGUGAGGUGUCGGGUAUAAGGUGAGCAAGUGGGCUCUGUGAAAACAACUCCAAGAUGCAGAGGAAAAGAGCUCUGGAGUGAGGUGCUGUGAACAACGCUCUUAGCAAACAGAAUUAUUUUUGAUGUUGUUUCCACCUGGCUGAUGAUUGUUUUAGAGCAAGUCUCCUGUCACGGCCUGGCACUGGAUCUGCAGAAUUCCUUAACAGACACUGGGCCAGCAGGCAGGAAGAUAUCACACACCCAGCGAAGAUACAAAACGUCCGGGGCAUUGCCAUGACUCUCAAGGUGUUGUUUAGAGUUCAUGUGAGUACUUCUAAAAAUACGAUGGGAUGGCCUUUCCGAGCUUGUUUCCUUUAGAUGCUAGACCAUCAAUCAACAGACGAGAAACAGCUAUUAGAA
rnacentral:lncRNA from 1 species